rnacentral:rRNA from 2 species
AACUAGGCAAAAUGGUGCCGUAACUUCGGGAGAAGGCACGCUGACACGUAGGUGAAGUGAUUUACUCAUGGAGCUGAAGUCAGUCGAAGAUACCAGCUGGCUGCAACUGUUUAUUAAAAACACAGCACUGUGCAAACACGAAAGUGGACGUAUACGGUGUGACGCCUGCCCGGUGCCGGAAGGUUAAUUGAUGGGGUCAGCGCAAGCGAAGCUCCUGAUCGAAGCCCCGGUAAACGGCGGCCGUAACUAUAACGGUCCUAAGGUAGCGAAAUUCCUUGUCGGGUAAGUUCCGACCUGCACGAAUGGCGUAAUGAUGGCCAGGCUGUCUCCACCCGAGACUCAGUGAAAUUGAACUCGCUGUGAAGAUGCAGUGUACCCGCGGCAAGACGGAAAGACCCCGUGAACCUUUACUAUAGCUUGACACUGAACAUUGAGCCUUGAUGUGUAGGAUAGGUGGGAGGCUUUGAAGUGUGGACGCCAGUCUGCAUGGAGCCGACCUUGAAAUACCACCCUUUAAUGUUUGAUGUUCUAACGUGGACCCGUGAUCCGGGUUGCGGACAGUGUCUGGUGGGUAGUUUGACUGGGGCGGUCUCCUCCUAAAGAGUAACGGAGGAGCACGAAGGUUGGCUAAUCCUGGUCGGACAUCAGGAGGUUAGUGCAAUGGCAUAAGCCAGCUUGACUGCGAGCGUGACGGCGCGAGCAGGUGCGAAAGCAGGUCAUAGUGAUCCGGUGGUUCUGAAUGGAAGGGCCAUCGCUCAACGGAUAAAAGGUACUCCGGGGAUAACAGGCUGAUACCGCCCAAGAGUUCAUAUCGACGGCGGUGUUUGGCACCUCGAUGUCGGCUCAUCACAUCCUGGGGCUGAAGUAGGUCCCAAGGGUAUGGCUGUUCGCCAUUUAAAGUGGUACGCGAGCUGGGUUUAGAACGUCGUGAGACAGUUCGGUCCCUAUCUGCCGUGGGCGCUGGAGAACUGAGGGGGGCUGCUCCUAGUACGAGAGGACCGGAGUGGACGCAUCACUGGUGUUCGGGUUGUCAUGCCAAUGGCACUGCCCGGUAGCUAAAUGCGGAAGAGAUAAGUGCUGAAAGCAUCUAAGCACGAAACUUGCCCCGAGAUGAGUUCUCCCUGAGACUUUAGGUCUCCUGAAGGAACGUUGAAGACGACGACGUUGAUAGGCCGGGUGUGUAAGCGCAGCGAUGCGUUGAGCUAACCGGUACUAAUGAACCGUGAGGCUUAACCUUACAACGCCGAAG